rnacentral:rRNA from 1 species
UGCGCCGUAGCUAACACUUUAAGUGCCGCGCCUGGGGAGUACGGGCCGCAAGGCUAAAACUCAAAGGAAUUGACGGGGGCCCGCACAAGCGGCGGAGCAUGCGGAUUAAUUCGAUGCAACGCGAAGAACCUUACCAAGGCUUGACAUGCGCCCUGACGCUGCAGAGAUGUGGUGGCAUUUGGUUGGGGGUGUACAGGUGGUGCAUGGUUGUCGUCAGCUCGUGUCGUGAGAUGUUGGGUUAAGUCCCGCAACGAGCGCAACCCUUGCCCUAUGUUGCCAGCACGUUGUGGUGGGGACUCGUGGGGGACUGCCGGGGUUAACUCGGAGGAAGGUGGGGAUGACGUCAAAUCAUCGUGCCCCUUAUGUCUUGGGCUUCACGCAUGCUACAAUGGCUGGUACAGAGGGUUGCGAUGUCGUAAGGCGGAGCGGAUCCCUUAAAGCUGGUCUCAGUUCGGAUUGGGGUCUGCAACUCGACCCCAUGAAGGUGGAGUCGCUAGUAAUCGCAGAUCAGCAACGCUGCGGUGAAUACGUUCUCGGGCCUUGUACACACCGCCCGUCACGUCACGAAAGUUGGUAACACCCGAAGCUCAUGGCCUAACCGGUUUGUCUGGGGGGAGUGGUCGAAGGUGGGUUUUUCAUUGGGACGAAGUCGUAACAAGGUAAACCG